UUCCUGUAUUCCCUAGUACGGCGAGUGAGCGGGAAGAGCUCAAAUUUGAAAUCUGGCAGUCUUCGAUUGUCCGAGUUGUAAUCUAUAGAGGCGUUUUCCGUGCCGGACCGUGUCCAAGUCUCCUGGAAAGGAGUAUCAAAGAGGGUGAUAAUCCCGUACUUAACACGACCACCGGUGCUCUGUGAUACGUCUUCUACGAGUCGAGUUGUUUGGGAAUGCAGCUCAAAAUGGGUGGUGAAUUCCAUCUAAAGCUAAAUAUUGGCGAGAGACCGAUAGCGAACAAGUACCGUGAGGGAAAGAUGAAAAGCACUUUGGAAAGAGAGUUAAACAGUACGUGAAAUUGUUGAAAGGGAAACGAUUGAAGUCAGUCGUGUUCUUUGGAUUCAGCCAGUUCUGCUGGUCUACUUCCUUGGAACGGGUCAACAUCAGUUUUGUCCGGUGGAUAAAGGUAGUAGGAAUGUGACUUCUCCGGAAGUGUUAUAGCCUAUUAUCACAUACACUGGGUGAGACUGAGGACUGCAGCUCGCCUUUAUGGCCGGUCUUCGGACACGUUCGAGCUUAGGAUGUUGACAUAAUGGCUUUAAACGACCCGUCUUGAAAACACGGACCCA
rnacentral:rRNA from 1 species